rnacentral:rRNA from 1 species
UACGUAGGUGGCAAGCGUUGUCCGGAAUCAUUGGGCGUAAAGAGCGUGUAGGCGGCCAGAUAAGUCCGCUGUGAAAACUCGAGGCUCAACUUCGAGCUGUCGGCGGAAACUAUCUGGCUAGAGUCCGGAAGAGGAGAGUGGAAUUCCUGGUGUAGCGGUGAAAUGCGCAGAUAUCAGGAAGAACACCAACGGCGAAGGCAGCUCGCUGGGACGGUACUGACGCUGAGACGCGAAAGCGUGGGGAGCGAACAGG